CUCAGGCGAUGUGUUGCCAGAUCGAUACUGCAUCCACGAUCGCGUGCACCGCGCCAGCAGAUGGUACAUACAUAUAAUAUUUAGCUACCUGCACACUCUACGACGUACGACCUCUAUUCGCCGAGACCCUCUCUGGCCAUAAGCUGAUAUGCCUCGAUCUCCUUCUCUUAGCAGCAGGUUGACCACCAUCGCUUACCAGGAGGGUGACGCAUCCUUUUGACGGCUUUUUACUCCAGGAACCUGACCGGUUGACAACGCGAACUCUCGGCUCCUGCGCACGGGUUCACGAUGCCACGAGGGGUGCGUGUCAACAUAACCCCGUGCGCCCCUGAUUCCAAUCGCGGGAAGCUGUGCCUGGGCGACCUUUGGGUCCAGGCACUGCCAUGGCAAUCUGCCUUACGUCCCACGCUGCUUUCUCCGCCUUUCCAGUCCGCUCUCCGUCGGCACCUCCUCCCCAUCCUCUCGGGAGGUUCAAGGGAUGUCUUCUUGGCUCAACUGACGAAACCACUGGCUGCUACUGACAUGCUACUGGCCAUAGCCAUGAUGCCACUGCUGUGUCGCUAAGUCGACAAUGUGGUGUCCCGUCCGUUGCAGCAUGGACAAGUGAUCAACGGCUCACGCGCACGGAAAAUAUUGUGAGCAACCCCCCAUUCACACGCCAUCGAAUCAAACGCUGGGCUUAGAGACGCAGGACUAAUGUACCCUUGGAUUUGCCUCGAGCCGAGUCGUACCACCACAGUCCUAUCAGACAGCAGGACAGAAGCGAACCC